rnacentral:misc_RNA from 1 species
UUUCCGUAGGUGAACCUGCGGAAGGAUCAUUACAGAGUUGUCGACACGAGCUGUUGCUGGUCCUCAAACGAGGGCAUGUUCACGCUCUGUUCACACAUCCACUCACACCUGUGCACCCUCUGUAGUUCUACGGUCUGGGGGACAUGCCGUCUUCCUCCCGUGGUUCUAGGUCUUUACACAUACGCCGUAGCGAAGUCUUAUGGAAUGUACCCUGCGUUUAACGCGAUAUAAUACAACUUUCAGCAACGGAUCUCUUGGCUCUC